UACAGAGGGUGCGAGCGUUGUCCGGAAUCACUGGGCGUAAAGGGCGCGUAGGUGGCGGCCCCAAGUCCAUGGUGAAAGCUCGAUGCUCAACAUCGAGUCGGCCACGGAUACUGGGUUGCUCGAGCACUGUAGGGGCAGAUGGAAUUCCGGGUGUAGCGGUGGAAUGCGUAGAGAGUCAGGCGGAACACCCGUGGCGAAGGCGGCCAGCUGGGCCGUCCCUGACGCUGAGGCGGCGAAGGCGUGGGGAGCGAACGGG
rnacentral:rRNA from 1 species